rnacentral:lncRNA from 1 species
UAAAAGGUCAUAAACCCACGACAACAAUGGUCAAAAGUUCAACAACCCCAGACAUUACCCCUUUGUGUAUUCCUAUUGGUGCACGGUGUCUUCACUGUCUCCCCCCGCUCUUCCCUCAGUUGUUCAGUUCAGUGCGCUCCAGAAGGUAUGAAUGACUGCUCAUCUUUUCUUCAGACCCUUUUCUUUUCCCCUUUUGCAGUAGAUGAUCUGAUAACUCAUGAACUCACCUUUUCUGUUUGUUGUAUGGUUGUAAAUACUAUAUUUUCUACUAUCUUCUUUCUUUCUCUCUGUCUAUGAUGUGUGAAAGAUUUUGUUGACAUAUUAAAGUCGCUUUCUAAUUCCUCACUCUCAUGGCGAAAGCGACCCUUCAUUUCCCCCUUUUGUGUAUUUAUUUAUACAAUCUCUUCUCUUCCUUAUUUAGUGCAACUCCCUUUUCUCCACCUAUUAUUCCUUCAUUCAAAUAUAAUCUUAUCAUCUCAUUUCAUUUUCCUCAGAAAUUAUUAUUUUUUCAUUCAGCCAAACGUUGUUUAUCUUCUUCCCCCUUUCUUUUUCUUAUCUUUCCCCUCUUUUAUCUGCUCUUCUUUUGUUUUGUUCUGAUAGUUCUAUUUAUUGCUGCGGAAGUGAAGUGACAUUCAGAAAACACUUGAAAUAAUGGGAAAAUGAUAGCUCACCAAGCAUUAUUGGAGACUUAGGGUUUUCAUUAUUGAGCAGAUAAGUGCAGUUUCAGAUAGUUUUUCGAUCUAUUAUCAUUUAGCUGCUUAAGAUUCAUUUGUUCUAUUAAUUUCUGUCUAAGCUAAGUUGAUGGAACGCUAUCUUCUAGGUUUUUUUUUUUUCAGAUUACUUAUCUAAGAUCCUGUUUAUUUCAGAUUGAUACUAUUAGCAUCAUUAUGAUUCUGAAAUAUUUUUUUUCUUUUUCUAUCUAUUUUGUUAGUAAAACCACUACUCAUUAAAAUGGCAAAUUAAAGAUAUUUUUUUUUAAUCUAUUGUAGGGUUUGUUUUAAGAGUUGACUCUGCCCCCAGUUAAGAGAUUGCAUUUUGUAUAGUGAUUUUGUUUUCUAUUAUUUGAAAUCGUUACCAUGGGACUUUGCUAUUUCUUCUGUAGUGCUUUUGAACCCAUGGUAAAUGUCUUUGAAAGGUUUAAUUUUUUCAUUUUUAUUUUUAAAAAAAUCCACUUUAAGUAUCUUCUCAGGUUUCAUAUGUCAUAUGGAUAUGAUAUUAAAACUGAUGACUUUGGUAUGCCAUCACUAGAGACCACAAAAUGUCUACUGCUACUUUUCUUACUUUUGUGAUUCAUAAUCCCUCUCAUGAGACCUAGGAUUUGCCUGGGAAUUUGGGUAGUUGUUUUUUUUGCUGUACCUUUGUUAACUCUUAUAUAUCAAAUUAACCAUAAUGAGAAUCUCCAUUUUUUGUGGAAAUUUUCAAGUUCACUGUUAAUAGGUUAUUAAGAAUGUAUUUUUAGUUCCCAGCUCUUCAUUCUUCAGCUAUUAUGCAAGCAUGAUUUAGGUUGUGUCUAUAGCAUUUGCAUUUCAUUUUCUUUCUAAAGCUAAAUGCAGACUGUUUUGCUUCUGUUAUGUGAAAUUCGGGCCAAACUUCUUUCCUUUUACUCUCGCAAUAUGAUUCUGAGACAUCAUGGUGAAUUGUUGCCAGGUAUUACUGGAUACUUGUCAUAGUGAUUGAGUUUAUGAUUUGUCACAUUUCUAUCCCUUUUUUCCAGUUGAAUAUUAGUUGUGUGAAAAGUUGAUGUUGGUAGAUCAAGUUCUUUUAUUUAAGCCUCUUCAGCUUAUGUAUUCUAUGUAAGAUUUGGUGAAUGCUGCUAUUCAGUUGAAGAACUUGGUUAUUACUGGACUUGUAAAAGUUUUGUGCAUUAAGGAAUGGUCUAAGAGAGCUUCCUUCAGCCCACUCAUGGAGGAGAACUGGGGUUGAAUUAGCUGCCGCCUCAUUCAUCCAACCACUCAGUAGAAAGGAAUAGGUUUUGUGCUACUGUGAUUGAGUGAAUGAUGCGGGAGAUAGUUUUCUAUUCCUCUCUUUCCUUGCUUGGACUGAAGGGAGCUCCUUUUUUCCAUUUUCUUCAUUUUCAUCUCUUCUUAUAGCCUUGUACUAAUUUUCAAACAAUGAAAACCUAAUUUUCAGAAGAGCUCUCUCAUUCCCGUCUUCCCUCGGACAAGCCGGCUGUCCCUCAAUUCUUAUCAUUAUGUUUGGUGUUGGAUUAUAACACAUUGUGGAGAUUUGCAAGAUAAGAUUUCAGGCACUUCUGCUUUAAAUUUUCCAAUGAUUGUCUCUUGCAGGAAUGCAAGUAAGGCUGCGUACAAUUGACCUUUGUGGUCUGGCCCUUCCCCGGACUCCGCGUAUAGUGGGAGCUUAGCACCAAUCUGCCCUUUUUAUUGUCUCUAACAUCUUAAUUAGUUACAUGUUAUAAUAAAUAUGCGAUGAUAAGUCUACUUCUGUUUCAUUCAGAUAUAACUCCAAGAGUUAUGAAUUGCCAUGUUUUCCAUUUUCACUAGGCAGUUGGCCCUUUGUCGGCACCCCCGGUCUCCACCACCAUUAUCGGUUAGGCAUACUUCUCCGUUUACUUCCAAAUAUCAAAGACCACUCCAUAUGGCUGUAUUAUCAUGUCUUUGUACAAUUAUAUUGACAUUUAUAUCAUCUGUUUACUGUCUGUUUACUGUCUCUGCUAUAAUGUUAUAUCUGCUGCAUGCAAUAUGUUUAUGUAUUCUGUCUAAACUGAUUGGAAUUGGAUCAGAGAUCCACCUACCUAGUUGCUGUAGAAAGCUCCUUUUCUGCUACAUAGAUUACUUUGACGUUCACAUAUCUCUUACACAAGUUAAGGCUUUACUCUUUAGAGAGAUAAUAUACAUGGCUCUUACAAACUGAACAAACAACUUUCUUGCAGUUUCUGAUUUGUGGAUUAAGCAUUUACAAAUGCAUAUACGAUUUUUUGAUCAGUUAAAGAAAAACAUAUGUAAAAGAAAACAGUAUAUGCAUUUGUAAAUGCUUGUUCCCAAAACAAAUUGCAUAUAUAGUAGUAUCACACGUAUAGCAGUUUAAAUUGAGGUGAAAGCUGCUUCUUGCCCUUAAAAUUUUCAAAUAUUUUGCAUGGCUCUGAGACUGAAGACAGCAAAACGUGAUGAGCACCAUGUUUCCCCCCCUUUUCCUAGGGCAAGCUUGUAAUGAAGAUUACAUCAUUGAAAUGCAUUGGCUGCUUUUUUAAAUGGCAAGUAGGUUAUGGAAAGUACAUAUUCUUGUGUUAUAUAUGUAUUAAUGAAAUGUUUUGGUCCUUUUCCCUUGAGCACUUGUACUAUAUUAAUAUGCUGAUAACUAGGUCAUGUUAUGUAAUCUGACAAUGUUAAAUGAUAUAGACUUGGUACCAAUUGAUUUUGCCAAUUAUGGAGGGGGGGGACCUCAGGGUCCAAAUCCUGAUUAAGGUAAUCAGCUUUAGUUUGAUAUUAUUUUGCAUCAUUAUAUAGUGUUUUUAUAAGGUUGUGUCCGGCAUAAUUUAUCUAGGAAGUACCAAUAGAUUCUGUCUGUAGUGUGGUCCCCUACCCUUUUGUCAUGCAGUUUUGAUGCCUUCAUUUUUGCUUUCUUUUGUAUGCAUUCUAAAACCUAUUCUGUAUUAUAAUAUAAUAUGAUGCAUUAUUGAUCUCUCCUGUUCUCAGAGGAAGCCUAUUAGGUGUUCUUUUAAUUUACUACUACAGUAUUAUUUUUCCUUGUGACCAUUCAUUGCCUACAUACUUCCUUAAGGGUUCACAGCUUGCUUGUGUUCAAGGUUUAGUAAAAGAAGCUUGGAGGAAGAAAGGUGAGGAACUGAGAAGCUGCACUUGCUGUGAUUCAUGGUGGUCAGUGGCGGAGCUAGUGUGUUUUAUUAUGUGUUUGGCAGAACCCGGUGGCUUUCGGCCAAAAGUUUAUACGUGUGUUAAGAAAUUUAUUUAAUAUGUAUAAAUAAUUUAUCCAGAACUCACUAAGCUGUUUUUUUCUAGAACUCAAAAUCCAUAAACCUAAAACUUUGGCCCCGCUGAUGUUAUUCUUUGAAUUUGGUGUGUCCUGUUUUAUGAUGUCAUUUAUACAGUAACAGAUAUAAAGCAUAAGAACUUUUUGGCUAAUUUU